UUGUGAUAAUAACAGGGUCAGUAUACAAGAGUUUUCAAGCUUAAGUGACUUAAGUUAUAACUUAAAAUAAUUUUGAUGUGUUACUCUUUAAACUUCUGAAAGGACUAUUGAGAUGAAACUUCAGCUUGGAGGAGUUUUCAUUUUUACUUUUGUGAGGAAAUGGUCAGAAGGAUUUGGUAGGCAGGCUAUUACUACAGAUUUCCUAGUAAAAUAAGGUUUGCUAACAUCAAUAUAAGAUUUACAUAAAAGUUAUAGAAGUCCUGACAUUCCUUCUUUGUUGCGGAUCAUUUAAUGGUAUUAACUUGAAAAAGAAAUGAAAUCUAAGUAGUCAUCACAUUAAUGAAACACAGGUACUAUACUAUUUGAAGGGUGAAUUUUCCAAACCAGAGGCAUAUAUAUUAAGACCUAAGAGACUAUUAGUAUUUAUAUUGGUUAUAGAAGAUUUAGCUAUACCUAGUGGUACAUCUUAAGAUUCUAGCUACUCAUCGAGGCAAAAGCUAGAAGAGGUAGGACUACAUCUGUAACUGUUUUAACUUAACAUGCCAUGAAGAAUUAAAAAAGCUUUUGUACCACUUGUUCUUUUAUUUUCACGGUCUCUGAGAACAAAAAUAGCAGGACAGUAAAAGUCAGUUAAGUUGAUGUAUGGUUGACACAUUACACUUUUAACUGGUAUUCCACAGUCAAUGUGUAGUUUUGAAAAAAGUUUGCUUUUACCUUUUGAAAUAAUAAAAAUAACAUGGUAGAAAAUUUAUUUCUUGGAAGUGCUUCAGAAUUAUUAAAGACAAGCACAGUUCUUUCAGAUUUUCCUCCUUUUAGAAUGGAAGCUCCCUGAGGGCAGGGAAUCUUGAGUAAUGAUGCUAUACAAGCAGCACUUUCCAGUUGGUAGAUACUCUUUGCUGUAAUAUUCAGGGAAAAAAGACAUUUUAGAACCCUUUUAAAUGCUAACACAAUGCUGCCAUUCUGGUAAAUUAAGAUUAUGAAGUUUCAUGUUAAAGUUGUCAGACUUAAAAAAAUUAUAAAUGAGCGUCUUGGAU
rnacentral:lncRNA from 1 species